rnacentral:rRNA from 1 species
UACGUAGGCAGCAAGCGUUGUUCGGAAUUACUGGGCGUAAAGAGUGUGUAGGCGGUGCUCUAAGUCUGUUGUGAAAUCUCCCGGCUUAACCGGGAGGGUGCGGCGGAAACUGGAGUGCUUGAGGGUGGGAGAGGUAAGCGGAAUUCCUGGUGUAGCGGUGAAAUGCGUAGAUAUCGAGAGGAACACCUGCGGCGAAGGCGGCUUCCUGGACCGACACUGACGUGAGGCGCGAAAGCUAGGGGAGCAAACGGG